rnacentral:rRNA from 1 species
GACGAACGCUGGCGGCGUGCUUAACACAUGCAAGUCGAACGAAGAGCGAUGGAAGCUUGCUUCUAUCAAUCUUAGUGGCGAACGGGUGAGUAACGCGUAAUCAACCUGCCCUUCAGAGGGGGACAACAGUUGGAAACGACUGCUAAUACCGCAUACGAUCUAAACUCGGCAUCGAGGAUAGAUGAAAGGUGGCCUCUACAUGUAAGCUAUCACUGUAGGAGGGGAUUGCGUCUGAUUAGCGAGUUGGAGGGGUAACGGCCCACCAAGGCGAUGAUCAGUAGCCGGUCUGAGAGGAGGAACGGCCACAUUGGGACUGAGACACGGCCCAGACUCCUACGGGAGGCAGCAGUGGGGAAUCUUCCGCAAUGGACGAAAGUCUGACGGAGCAACGCCGCGUGAGUGAUGACGGCCUUCGGGUUGUAAAGCUCUGUUAAUCGGGACGAAAGGCCUUCUUGCGAAUAGUGAGAAGGAUUGACGGUACCGGAAUAGAAAGCCACGGCUAACUACGUG